rnacentral:rRNA from 1 species
AUUGAACGCUGGCGGCAGGCCUAACACAUGCAAGUCGAACGAGUGGCGGACGGGUGAGUAAUGUCUGGGAAACUGCCCGAUGGAGGGGGAUAACUACUGGCACCGGUAGCUAAUACCGCAUACCAUCGGAUGUGCCCAGAUGGGAUUCGCUAGCAGGUGGGGUAACGGCUCACCUAGGCGACGAUCCCUAGCUGGUCUGAGAGGCUGACCAGCCACACUGUAACGGAGACACGGUCCAUACUCCUACGGGAGGCAGCAGUGGGGAAUAUUGCACGAUGGGCGCAGGCCUGAUGCAGCCAUGCCGCGUGUAUGAAUAAGGCCUUCGGGUUUUAAAGUACUUUCAGCGGGGAGGCGUUACCCGCAGAGGAAACACCGGCUAACUCCGUGCCAGCAGCCGCGGUAAUAC